UACGUAGGGGGCUAGCGUUGUCCGGAAUCAUUGGGCGUAAAGCGCGUGUAGGCGGUCCGGUAAGUCCGCUGUGAAAGUCGGGGGCUCAACCCUCGGAUGCCGGUGGAUACUGUCGGGCUUGAGUACGGAAGAGGCGAGUGGAAUUCCUGGUGUAGCGGUGAAAUGCGCAGAUAUCAGGAGGAACACCAAUUGCGAAGGCAGCUCGCUGGGACGUUACUGACGCUGAGGCACGAAAGCGUGGGGAUCAAACAGG
rnacentral:rRNA from 1 species